UAGUGCUGCAAUGUAAACAUUGCAGUGUCUCUGGAACUGCAGUGUAUUACAUUGCAGCACUA
rnacentral:miRNA from 1 species